rnacentral:rRNA from 1 species
CCUACGGGAGGCAGCAGUGGGGGAUAUUGCACAAUGGGGGAAACCCUGAUGCAGCGACGCCGCGUGGGUGAAGAAGCGCCUCGGCGCGUAAAGCCCUGUCAGCAGGGAAGAAAAUGACGGUACCUGAAGAAGAAGCCCCGGCUAACUACGUGCCAGCAGCCGAGGUAAUACGUAGGGGGCAAGCGUUAUCCGGAUUUACUGGGGGUAAAGGGGGCGCAGACGGCGAUGCAAGCCAGGAGUGAAAGCCCGGGGCCCAACCCCGGGACUGCGCUUGGAACUGCGUGGCUAGGGUGCAGGAGGGGCAGGGGGAAUUCCUGGUGUAGCGGUGAAAUGCGUAGAUAUCAGGAGGAACACCGGUGGCGAAGGCGGCCUGCUGGACUGCAACUGACGUUGAGGCCCGAAAGCGUGGGGAGCAAACAGGAUUAGAUACCCCGGUAGUC